AUGGCGAAGUCUUGUCGUAAAGCAACAGAUUUUUUUGGAGUCAUACAACGCAUCAAUACAAUAUUUGCUAAUUCUACUAAACGAUGGCAAAUUCUGAAAGAUAACUUGAAGAAGUUGACUGUCAAGUCAUUGUCAUCUACUCGUUGGGAGAGUCAUGUUGAGAGUGUUAAGGCUAUAAGGAUUCAAAUGCCAGAAAUAAGGGAGGCCUUACUA
rnacentral:rRNA from 1 species